UACGUAGGGUGCGAGCGUUGUCCGGAUUUACUGGGCGUAAAGAGCUCGUAGGCGGUUUGUCACGUCGUCUGUGAAAACCCGAGGCUUAACCUCGGGACUGCAGGCGAUACGGGCAGACUUGAGUACUGUAGGGGAGACUGGAAUUCCUGGUGUAGCGGUGGAAUGCGCAGAUAUCAGGAGGAACACCGGUGGCGAAGGCGGGUCUCUGGGCAGUAACUGACGCUGAGGAGCGAAAGCGUGGGUAGCGAACAGG
rnacentral:rRNA from 1 species